GGUAAGGCAGCCCCUCACAGGAGGGGCAGAAGGGAGGUGACAAGAGAAGUCUGGUAGGAGGCCUGAAAGCUUGGCUGUGGCUUUGGCUGUGACCCCAUCUGCCAUUUUAGGCUGAGGAACCAGAGCAGAUGUGUGAAAAGGCAAGUCAUAAGGCUGCGAUGGUGCAGGAGCAGGCGAGAGGAGCUACCUGAUGUCCAAGGUCAGGGGCGGUGGCCAAGAGGAGAUACCCCACGUCUAAGACCAAGAGAAUGAACUCUUUCUCAGACCCCCACCUUCAAGAAUACUACAAAGAAAAUGGUACAUUUUGCUAACUUACUAGCAGAACUUCAGAGGACACUCAGAGUUCUGUGACCCCUGGGGGGGCUUCACCACAUGGGAUCUGAGCCGCCUGCGGGUACAGCGAGCUGUCAGAGCCGAACGUAGAACAUGGUGAGUCCUGUCCCCUUUACUCAGACCCCUGAGCCUCAGAAAUCAGCCACCAAAGAGCACAGAUGGUCCCAAGGAUUCAAAGUAAAAUAAAUUCUAA
ensembl:lncRNA